AGCAGCCGCCACGGGAAUACAGAGGGUGCGAGCGUUAAUCGGAUUUACUGGGCGUAAAGCGUGCGUAGGCGGCUUCUUAAGUCGGAUGUGAAAUCCCUGAGCUUAACUUAGGAAUUGCAUUCGAUACUGGGAAGCUAGAGUAUGGGAGAGGAUGGUAGAAUUCCAGGUGUAGCGGUGAAAUGCGUAGAGAUCUGGAGGAAUACCGAUGGCGAAGGCAGCCAUCUGGCCUAAUACUGACGCUGAGGUACGAAAGCAUGGGGAGCAAACAGGAUUAGAUACCCCUGUAGUCCCUGUCUCUUAUAC
rnacentral:rRNA from 1 species